ACCCCAGUAGCUCAGCCGGACAGAGCGCGCCACUACGAAUGGCGAGGUCCCGGGUUCGACUCCCGGCCGGGGUA
rnacentral:tRNA from 1 species